GAUGAACGCUGGCGGCGUGCCUAAUACAUGCAAGUCGAGCGAACGGACGAGAAGCUUGCUUCUCUGAUGUUAGCGGCGGACGGGUGAGUAACACGUGGAUAACCUACCUAUAAGACUGGGAUAACUUCGGGAAACCGGAGCUAAUACCGGAUGAUAUUUUGAACCGCAUGGUUCAAAAGUGAAAGACGGUCUUGCUGUCACUUAUAGAUGGAUCCGCGCUGCAUUAGCUAGUUGGUAAGGUAACGGCUUACCAAGGCAACGAUGCAUAGCCGACCUGAGAGGGUGAUCGGCCACACUGGAACUGAGACACGGUCCAGACUCCUACGGGAGGCAGCAGUAGGGAAUCUUCCGCAAGGGGCGAAAGCCUGACGGAGCAACGCCGCGUGAGUGAUGAAGGUCUUCGGAUCGUAAAACUCUGUUAUUAGGGAAGAACAUAUGUGUAAGUAACUGUGCACAUCUUGACGGUACCUAAUCAGAAGGCCACGGCUAACUACG
rnacentral:rRNA from 1 species